UCUCACUAUCAACACACAAAAACCCUAAUUUUUUUCUCUCACUUUCUCACUCGUAUUCCUCCUUCUCUUCUCCGCCGCCGUGUCAAUCUUCAUUCAUCCUUCAUUGUUUCACCUUUACCUCCUUCUCUUAUCAUAACCGCACCACCUGUUUACCUUCAUAGUCUUCUCAUACUAAUGUUGUCUUCAUAAAUUGUUUAUUUUCAGGUGUUGAAGUGAUUUAAAGCUACGAGAGGUUGUUAUACUAUUCUGAUGAAAAGAAAUCUUACAAAAGAUUCAUUUAGAUCUGUUUUGGAUGGGUUCAACUAAGGUUCAACUAAGGUUCAAGUUUCACUAAGGUUAAGUGAUGGGUUUUUUGAUUUUCAGAUUCAUUUUGAUCUGUUUUGGAUGAGUUCAACUAAGUAAUGGGUUUUUUAUUUUCAUAUUCAUUUAGAUCUGUUUUGGAUGGGUUCAACUAAGGUUCAAGAUUCAUUAAGGUUCAACUAAGUGAUGGGUUUUUUGAACUUUAAGAUAAAUUUAGAUCUGUUUUGAAUUUGGUUGUGUUUUGAUUUCUUGACUUCUUGUUCUACACCGACUUGUAUGAAAAAACUUGAAACAACUGCAGUAUUUUAUUUUCAGGUGCUUGGCUGACUUGAAGCUAUCAUAUGUGGUUCUACUUUGAUGAAGUUAAUCUUACAAAAGUUGUGCUUUGAUUUUGAGAUUCCACAGAGUGAUGUAGUGAAGGUGUAGUGAAGGUGAUUCUUCUUUCAAGCAUAUCUCCAAAGUUUCCUGAAAUUAUAGAUUUUGAAAAGG